AGGGUUUGAUCAUGGCUCAGGACGAACGCUGGCGGCGUGCCUAAUACAUGCAAGUCGAGCGAACAAAAAGGUGCUUGCACCUUUUUGUUAGCGGCGGACGGGUGAGUAACACGUGGGCAACCUGCCUGUAAGACUGGGAUAACUUCGGGAAACCGGAGCUAAUACCGGAUAAUUCUUUUCCUCGCAUGAGGAAAAAUUGAAAGUCGGUUUCGGCUGACACUUACAGAUGGGCCCGCGGCGCAUUAGCUAGUUGGUGAGGUAACGGCUCACCAAGGCGACGAUGCGUAGCCGACCUGAGAGGGUGAUCGGCCACACUGGGACUGAGACACGGCCCAGACUCCUACGGGAGGCAGCAGUAGGGAAUCUUCCACAAUGGACGAAAGUCUGAUGGAGCAACGCCGCGUGAGCGAUGAAGGCCUUCGGGUCGUAAAGCUCUGUUGUUAGGGAAGAACAAGUAUCGGAGUAACUGCCGGUACCUUGACGGUACCUAACCAGAAAGCCACGGCUAACUACGUGCCAGCAGCCGCGGUAAUACGUAGGUGGCAAGCGUUGUCCGGAAUUAUUGGGCGUAAAGCGCGCGCA
rnacentral:rRNA from 1 species